UACGUAGGGUGCGAGCGUUAAUCGGAAUUACUGGGCGUAAAGCGUGCGCAGGCGGUUCGUUGUGUCGGCGGUGAAAGCCCCGGGCUUAACCUGGGAAUGGCCGUUGAAACUGGCGAACUGGAGUGUGGCAGAGGGGGGUGGAAUUCCGGCGUGUAGCAGUGAAAUGCGUAGAGAUGCGGAGGAACACCGAUGGCGAAGGCAGCCCCCUGGGCUGACACUGACGCUCAGGCACGAAAGCGUGGGGAGCAAACAGG
rnacentral:rRNA from 1 species